UAUUAAAAUUUUUAUCAAUUUAUAUUGUUAAAAACUAAAAUGCAUGGUGAAAUAACUAGACAAUGACACAUGGUUUGUUAUUGUACCUCAUGCUAAUGUUUAAGGACUAGUUUUCAAGAACAGAAAUAAAUGAAAUUUUUAACA
rfam:Gossypium hirsutum cultivar TM-1 chromosome 13, whole genome shotgun sequence